rnacentral:rRNA from 1 species
UACAGGGGGGGCAAGCGUUGUUCGGAAUUACUGGGCGUAAAGGGCUCGUAGGUGGCCAACUAAGUCGGACGUGAAAUCCCUCAGCUUAACUGGGGAACUGCAUCCGAUACUGGAUGGCUUGAGUUCGGGAGAGGGAUGCGGAAUUCCAGGUGUAGCGGUGAAAUGCGUAGAUAUCUGGAGGAACACCGGUGGCGAAGGCGGCAUCCUGGACCGACACUGACGCUGAGGAGCGAAAGCCAGGGGAGCAAACGGG